rnacentral:lncRNA from 1 species
UUUGAACUUGAAAAUCAGGGAGUGUUCCAUCAGGAAUCCAUUUGGUCCUUCUAGAACGACACCGGCUCCACUGACCGUUCGACCUGAUGCCCCAUCAACGUAUAAUACCCACUCCUCCAGGCCAGUCAACGGUAUUUCGGCCGUGAAGUCAGCCAAGUGCUGCCCCUUGACAGAACCCCUUGGUUCGUAUCGGAUACCGAAUUCAGAUAAUUCCACUGCCC